rnacentral:rRNA from 1 species
UACGGAGGGGGCUAGCGUUGUUCGGAAUUACUGGGCGUAAAGCGCGCGUAGGCGGACGUUUAAGUCAGGGGUGAAAUGCCGGGGCUCAACCUCGGAACUGCCUUUGAUACUGGACGUCUGGAGUUCGGGAGAGGUGAGUGGAAUUCCGAGUGUAGAGGUGAAAUUCGUAGAUAUUCGGAGGAACACCAGAAGCGAAGGCGGCUCACUGGCCCGAUACUGACGCUGAGGCGCGAAAGCGUGGGGAGCAAACAGG